AGAGUUUGAUCCUGGCUCAGGACGAACGCUGGCGGCGUGCUUAACACAUGCAAGUCGAACGAUGAAGCCUUUCGGGGUGGAUUAGUGGCGAACGGGUGAGUAACACGUGGGCAAUCUGCCCUUCACUCUGGGACAAGCCCUGGAAACGGGGUCUAAUACCGGAUAACACUCUGUCCCUCAUGGGGCGGGGUUAAAAGCUCCGGCGGUGAAGGAUGAGCCCGCGGCCUAUCAGCUUGUUGGUGGGGUAAUGGCCUACCAAGGCGACGACGGGUAGCCGGCCUGAGAGGGCGACCGGCCACACUGGGACUGAGACACGGCCCAGACUCCUACGGGAGGCAGCAGUGGGGAAUAUUGCACAAUGGGCGAAAGCCUGAUGCAGCGACGCCGCGUGAGGGAUGACGGCCUUCGGGUUGUAAACCUCUUUCCAGCAGGGAAGAAGCGAAAGUGAC
rnacentral:rRNA from 1 species